GGAGGAUUCUCCUUGGCUUCCUUCGCCCAAUUUCAUCAGGAAGAUUUUCUCCACAAAAAGAUUCAUAAACCAGAGCGCAAUUCAGUGGAUCAUAUACCGAAUUUAAACAUGACGGAUUACGACGGAAGGUACGAAGGUAAUGGCGAAGAUGCAGACAAUUAUGGCGAUGGUUUUUCUCCCCAAGCUCGUGGUGCCAGCCACGGUGGCCACGAUACUCACAGCGAUUCGAAAUCUCAGCAUGGUUCUAGGGAUUAUGAAAGAGAGUCUUCAAAAAGUCGAGAAAAAGAAAGAGAUAAGGGGCGUGAUAGGGACAGGGACAGGGAGAGGGAUCGAGACCGAGGAAGAGAAAGGGAUAGAGAGAAAAGCAAAGAUGGGGAAAGAGACCGGGAGAAGGAUAGAGAUAGGGAUAGGGAUCGUGACAAAGACCGUGAUAGGGAACGUGACCGCCAUCAUAGAGACCGCCACAGGGAUCGAGGUGAGAGGAGGGAAGGGGGCAGAAGUAGAGAUGAUGAGGAUUACUACAGGAGUAGAGACUACGACAGGCGGAGAGAUUAUGAUAAAGAACGCGAAGACAGACACAGACGUAGGUCUCGUUCUCGCUCAAAGGGAAUACCUGAGCAUAGGUCAAGGUCCCCUUCUCCAUCGCGGUCAAGAUCACGCUCCAAAAGCAAACGAAUUAGUGGUUUUGACAUGGCUCCUCCCACUACUGCAAUAUUGUCUGGUGCAACUGCUGCUGCAGGUACCUAAA
rnacentral:misc_RNA from 1 species